rnacentral:rRNA from 1 species
CCGAACUCAGAAGUGAAACGCCGUAGCGCCGAUGGUAGUGUGGGGUCUCCUCAUGCGAGAGUAGGGAACUGCCAGGCAUCAAAUAAAACGAAAGGCUCAGUCGGAAGACUGGGCCUUUCG